rnacentral:rRNA from 1 species
CUGAGAGGGUGACCGGCCACAUUGGACUGAGACACGGCCCAAACUCCUACGGGAGGCAGCAGUGGGGAAUAUUGCACAAUGGGGGAAACUUGAUGCAGCGACGCCGCGUGAAGGAAGAAGUAUUUCGGUAUGUAAACCUCUAUCAGCAGGGAAGAAAUGACGGUACCUGACUAAGAAGCCCCGGCUAAACUACGUGCCAGCAGC